GGGCUGUGCCCGGGUAAGCGGCACUCGGUGGAAAGCGCGCCUCAGAGCGGUGCAGGGGUGAGCCGGGAGGGAGGUGGCCACGGAGCGGGUCUUAUUGGCUUCUCAGGUAAAAAUAAAUAGAGAAUUAAAGGUGUAACUGCGCGCACAGCUCUGGACAGAAUUGGGUCAGUUGGUUUGGUUUGAAUUUCUGGCGAGACAGCGCUGUCAGUUGCGCUGUACACGAUGCAACGGUGUUUGCGGCACUUGAUACGGUAACUCGUCGACAGCCGUUGAAGUUGUUCUGUUUUCAUGAAGCGCACUAGAUGCAACUGAAAGCAGAGUGGACAGUGUAUCAGUUAAAACCAAAGAUACAACAGGAAGAAAUUGGUUACUGCUUCAUGGCAGAAGCGGCAGAAGCACAUGGAUGACAGUACUCCAGUACUCCAACGUUAAUUUAAUCUGUAGGUUGCAUGAGAGCUGGAGAAGCUGAAGUCCAUGCAGAGAUUUUCUUCAGAUGUACAUGCUAGAAAGCAUUACUCUUCCAUUACAGCACUGUGAAUGGCAGAAGCCGGUGAGGAAUGGAAGCCUUCUGCCUAUCCCUGAGGAACCACUGACCACUUGGACCAUGCCCUGGGAAGGGGACACAGAGUUCUUCCCUUCCAUGAACAUGCUUGUGAAUGGCUGGGGAAGAGAGUGACACCUGACUCUGACUGGUACCUCCUGGAAAGGAAGAACCUGACAGGCACUGAAACAGCCUUCCACCAACAACAGCAAAUUAAAACCACACCCAACCAACUUUAGGACAGCUUGGUCAAGCUGUGAAUGGAAUUAAUACCACAAGUCAGGAUGCUGCUGAGCACGAUGGCACAGGAAACCCCUUCUAGUCUAUUACCAAUUAUCUGUAUUUAAGAAA